rnacentral:lncRNA from 1 species
CAACAAUCGUAAAAGUAAUACCAUAUUUAAAUAGAAGCAAAAUUAGGUUUAUAAAUAUUCAAAAAACUCUCUGAAUAUGUGAACAUGUCAUAUUUCUAUCAGGUCCAAAAUCAAAGAAUCCAAGAUGUACAAGUAAAAAUAUGCUUUACUGAAACAUUCAUAGAUGAUCACAUUUUUGAAGUUUUCCCUCCAACAUACCUUCAACUAAACCACAUAUUUUUUAUCAUUAGCCCUCUCAACUCCAGGAAAUUUUUUUCAUUGUGUGUUUGGGUCAAGUACUCGAGUGUGAUCAUCCAUACCAAUCCUAAUCCGACUGCAGUUCUUGGGUUGUUUUCCUCCCAGCAUAUCCUUUUUCACAUAUAUCCAGACCAAAACUACCAUCCAUAACUAUAUCAGAAGUUUUUCCUCCACCAUACCUUCAACUAGAACACAUAUCUUUUUAUCAUUAGUCCUCUCAAUUCCAGGAAUAUUUUUCAUUGUGUGUUCAAGUCAAGCGCGCAAGUGUGAUCAUCCAUGACAAUCAUGAUCUAACUGCAGUUGCUAGCUUGUUUCUUCCCUGCACAUCCAUUUUCACAUAUAUCCAGAUCAAAACUACUAUCCAUAACGACAUCACCAGAACAUCACAAAUCACUGCAUAUUCAGCUUAGCCAAGGAACCCAAUAUAGCACCGAUCACCUC